rnacentral:rRNA from 1 species
GUGGGGAAUAUUGGACAAUGGGGGAAACCCUGAUGCAGCGACGCCGCGUGAGUGAAGAAGUAUUUCGGUACGUAAAGCUCUAUCAGCAAGGAAGAAAAUGACGGUACUUGACUAAGAAGCCCCGGCUAACUACGUGCCAGCAGCCGCGGUAAUACGUAGGGGGCAAGCGUUAUCCGGAUUUACUGGGUGUAAAGGGAGCGUAGACGGUAUGGUAAGUCAGAUGUGAAAGCCCGGGGCUCAACCCCGGGACUGCAUUUGAAACUAUCAGACUAGAGUGCAGGGGAGGUAAGUGGAAUGCCUAGUGUAGCGGUGAAAUGCGUAGAUAUUAGGAGGAACACCAGUGGCGAAGGCGGCUUACUGGACUGUAACUGACGUUGAGGCUCGAAAGCGUGGGGAGCAAACAGGAUUAGAUACCCCGGUAGUCC